rnacentral:misc_RNA from 1 species
GGUGACCGCUUAUGUGUCGCCCUUGAUGCAGAGCUAAGGGAGAUGCAGGAGAGGAUGGCUAGCCGCCAGCGAUAUGAGGCGUCCGGACGGGCCUACGUGCUGUCGGGGCUGAGCUCGCACUCAUGGCAGAGGGCGACCGCCCGUGGUGACUCGACAGAUAGCACGAGCCUCGUCCACGCUUACCAGACACCGUCCAUGGUCGACAUGCUACAACGGUCGCAAACGAUGAAUCUCUCGCCACGUCGACCUCAUCCACCGAUCAGGCCGGCGAGGUCGUUUCCAGCGAAGCCUCAGCCAAGGUAAUUUCUCUUUUGUUUGAGAGAAAGCGAAA